AGCAGCCGCGGUAAUUCCAGCUCCAAUAGCGUAUAUUAAAGUUGUUGCAGUUAAAAAGCUCGUAGUUGAAUUUCGGGAUUAAUUUACUGGUCGUGCUAUUGUACGUACUGGUUUUAUUGAUUCCUCCCUUCUGACGAACUAUGAUGUCAUUAAUUUGGUGUCAUAGGAAAUCAGGACUGUUACUUUGAAAAAAUUAGAGUGUUUAAAGCAGGCUCACGCUUGAAUACAUUAGCAUGGAAUAACGGAAUAGGACGUUUGAUUCUAUUUUGUUGGUUUCUAGGAUCGACGUAAUGAUUAAUAGGGAUAGUUGGGGGCAUUAGUAUUCAAUUGUCAGAGGUGAAAUUCUUGGAUUUAUUGAAGACUAACUACUGCGAAAGCAUUUGCCAAGGAUGUUUUCAUUAAUCAAGAACGAAAGUUAGGGGAUCGAAGACGAUCAGAUACCGUCGUAGUCUUAACCAUAAACUAUGCCGACUAGGGAUCGGAUGAUGUAAUUUUUAAUGUACUCAUUCGGCGCCUUACG
rnacentral:rRNA from 1 species